GACGAACGCUGGCGGCGUGCCUAAUACAUGCAAGUCGAACGAGAGCGACCGGUGCUUGCACUGGUCAAUCUAGUGGCGAACGGGUGAGUAACACGUGGGUAACCUGCCCAUCAGAGGGGGAUAACAUCCGGAAACGGAUGCUAAAACCGCAUAGGUCUUCGAGCCGCAUGGCUUGAAGAGGAAAAGAGGCGCAAGCUUCUGCUGAUGGAUGGACCCGCGGUGCAUUAGCUAGUUGGUGAGGUAACGGCUCACCAAGGCAGUGAUGCAUAGCCGACCUGAGAGGGUGAUCGGCCACAUUGGGACUGAGACACGGCCCAAACUCCUACGGGAGGCAGCAGUAGGGAAUCUUCCGCAAUGGACGCAAGUCUGACGGAGCAACGCCGCGUGAGUGAAGAAGGUUUUCGGAUCGUAAAACUCUGUUGUUAGAGAAGAACAAGUGCUAGAGUAACUGUUAGCGCCUUGACGGUAUCUAACCAGAAAGCCACGGCUAACUACGUG
rnacentral:rRNA from 1 species